rnacentral:rRNA from 1 species
AGAGUUUGAUUAUGGCUCAGGAUGAACGCUAGCUACAGGCUUAACACAUGCAAGUCGAGGGGCAGCAUUGGAGUAGCAAUACUCAGAUGGCGACCGGCGCACGGGUGAGUAACACGUAUCCAACCUGCCGCUUACUCGGGGAUAGCCUUUCGAAAGAAAGAUUAAUACCCGAUGGUAUAAAGAGUUCGCAUGUUCUCUUUAUUAAAGAAUUUCGGUAAGCGAUGGGGAUGCGUUCCAUUAGAUUGUUGGCGGGGUAACGGCCCACCAAGUCUACGAUGGAUAGGGGUUCUGAGAGGAAGGUCCCCCACAUUGGAACUGAGACACGGUCCAAACUCCUACGGGAGGCAGCAGUGAGGAAUAUUGGUCAAUGGACGAGAGUCUGAACCAGCCAAGUAGCGUGAAGGAUGACUGCCCUAUGGGUUGUAAACUUCUUUUAUAAGGGAAUAAAGUGAGGGACGUGUCCCUUUUUGUAUGUACCUUAUGAAUAAGGAUCGGCUAACUCCGUGCCAGCAGCUGC